CUGCCGGAGGCCGGGCUCCGAGCGAACCCCGGCCGGUGACCGGGCGUGCCGCGGGGCCAGGGUUGCGGGUGUUAACCGCUCUCCCGCUAAUUUAAAUGCUUCUCUUCUUCAAAAGCUGGUAACUCAAAGUAAGCUGUUGGGUUCAGCCUAAACCUUUUGCUGUCCAAUGUGGAGGAUAAGAUCUCUGGAUUAUGGCACUUUUUAGCCUAUUCCUAAUGUAUCUAUGAAUGCUUCUGGAAGCUUGUCUGAAUUCAGAAAUGCUGCUGAUUUCGAAGGAAAUUUUAUACAAGAAAAAAAAUGGAUUUAAAGACAUCUCAUCACUGAUACCCAACACUGGAUUUGAGUAAGAGCUUAAUGUAUGUUCAGCAUCAACAGAAAAGUUACUUAGCAUAUUUUGAACAGUUCUCAAUUUUAUUUAAAAACGUUUUAAGAAUUACAGCAUCUAACAUUUGCAGAAUACCUUACAGCAUUCCCUCUCUCACUGAACAGAUGUGAAAACAGAAAUAGAAGUUCAGUUGUGAACAUGUGCUGAGUAAUACAAGUAUAUAAUUGAGAACUAUAAUUGACUAUGUAAGUGAAUGUAGGCUUCUCUAACACUCUAGGAUUGGGAAGAAUAAAACUAUUGUCAAAAACCAUAGAG